rnacentral:rRNA from 1 species
UACGUAGGGUGCAGGCGUUAUUCGGAAUUACUGGGCGUAAAGCGUGCGUAGGCGGCUUUGCAAGACAGAUGUGAAAUCCCCGGGCUUAACCUGGGAACUGCAUUUGAGACUGCAUGGCUGGAGUGCGGCAGAGGGGAAUGGAAUUCCGCGUGUAGCAGUGAAAUGCGUAGAUAUGCGGAGGAACACCGAUGGCGAAGGCGAUCCCCUGGGCCUGCACUGACGCUCAUGCACGAAAGCGUGGGGAGCAAACAGG